rnacentral:rRNA from 1 species
GACGAACGCUGGCGGCGUGCUUAACACAUGCAAGUCGAACGGAAAGGCCCUGCUUGCAGGGUACUCGAGUGGCGAACGGGUGAGUAACACGUGGGUGAUCUGCCCUGCACUUCGGGAUAAGCCUGGGAAACUGGGCCUAAUACCGGAUAGGAGCCAUUUUUAGCGUGAUGGUUGGAAAGUUUUUUCGGCGUAGGAUGAGCUCGCGGCCUAUCAGCUUGUUGGUGGGGUAAUGGCCUACCAAGGCGGCGACGGGUAGCCGGCCUGAGAGGGUGGACGGCCACAUUGGGUCUGAGGUGCGGCCCAGGCUCCUACGGGAGGCAGCAGUGGGGAAUAUUGCACAAUGGGCGCAAGCCUGAUGCAGCAGCGCCGCGUGGGGGAUGACGGCCUUCGGGUUGUAGACUCCUUUCGCUAGGGACGAAGCUUUUUGUGACGGUACCUAGAUAAGAAGCACCGGCUAACUACGUG